rnacentral:rRNA from 1 species
AUGGGACAUCGCCGAUUUCUGCACCCAGACCAUGAGUUCCGCUAUGAAUCUGACUUGUUUGAUGGAUUGGAGGAACACAAAACAGAACCAACUCUUUAUUCUAAAGUUGGAGUUUUAGAUAAGAUAAAAUCAAUUAAGAACUUCAAUGAUUCCAAAACUUGGAAGUUUGUUAACGGGGUUUUCUCUCAUUUGACUUAUUGGGACUACAAUUUGCUCCACCACAAUCUAGAUAUUAUGCACAUUGAAAAGAAUGUAUGUGAAAAUAUAUAUGGGACACUUCUAGGAAUAGAGGGCAAGUCAAAGGAUAAUUUAAAGGCACGACUUGACCUGCAGGACAUGAACAUCAGGCCAGAGCUACAUCCUCAAAAAAAAACAAUGACAAGUAUUUUCUUCCUCCUGCUUCUUAUACGUUGUCAAAGAAACAGAAGUAGCAGUUUUGCAAAGUACUUCAUGAUAUAA